UUGGGAUUUUUUUUUUUACUCUCCUAAGGAUGGUGGGGAGGACUGCAAAAUGCCGCCUCGCUGGGGGCAGACCUAAAAAGGCGCCUUAAAACGAAGCCACACAGGCGGCAUUCGCCACCGACCCGACCCAGCGGGUCAGAGCCGGGACAUUUGUCGGAGUUACUGUCGCUGCUUAUGCCCGGCCCGGCGGGGGCACAGAGGCCGCGUCGCAGGAACUGGAACACCCGAUACAGAAAGCGUUGCCGGGGCGAGCGAUUUCCAGGUAAAACCAUGAGUAAUCGUAGCACAGGGUAACAGUGAAGGAUUUGUAUGCAAGAAAUUAACUAUGUCUUAUCUUACAUCGUUUUGCUCCUCAGUACCUGGAGAGAAAUCCCUUCAUUUCCAGAGGAAACCUUGGUUGUCUGUCGACUUCAGGAUUCAGUCAUACAGUUGGACACAGCUGAAAAGAACCUGUGACACAUAUACAAACCCUUUCAGCUCGGGAUGGUUAUUAUUUCCUCAAAGGGAUAAUACCUUACACAAUGCACUUGAAUCUUCCCAAAUCUUAGGAUUUCCUGAAUAAUGCUCUGCCUUUAAUACAGAUUUUAAGUGCCUCUUGCAAUCUUAACUUCUUAAAUGUGUAAUGUAAAGUGAAUCAAAACUAUUACGUCUGUAAUAUGUGUUCUUGUUUGAAAGUACAGAAAUGAAGAUGGCACUGGAGAGUACGGUAACUCAGUACUGGAAAUACUAAUAUCUAAUGGGUAAGUGCUCAUGUAAGUUUAAUGGAGACAGAGUAAACUGAGCUCUGAAAAGAA